UGAAGAGUUGAUUGUUAAUAGAAAUCAGAGAAGCCUCAAUAAGAAGCUGUUGUUGGGUUGUGAUGGUUCUUGUCUAGUUCGACUGAUAAAUAAUGGUUGUGAUGAUAAUUAUUCAUGUUGAUUAUGAUGAAGUUGUUGGAUCAUGUAUAUACAGUCAAGUUACUCUUUAUUAACAACGACCGAUUCAAAGGACGAACCAGUGAAUGGAGAAUCUCGAGGUAGGCAAGGCUUGUCAUCAAAAUAGUUCCAGAGACAUAUCAGAGUUGCGCAGCGAAAGCUUCAAGGGUUGAUUUCGUCAGUUGGUUAACUUUUGCU